UGCUGCCGUUCCCUUUAUGUCAUUUAAAGGC
rnacentral:piRNA from 1 species